ACGCUGCUGCUGUUGCUGCUGCUUCUGCAGCUGCAGCAGAGCCAACAAUCUCUAAGGAAUGCAGACCUAGGGUGACAGCAGCCCUCCUUGUCGCUGGUGCCAGUUGCUGAAGAAGUCACAGGGCCCAGAAGAUGAGAGGAGGAGGAGGAGGAGGAGGAGAGGCUUUGUGUGAAUACAGCUCACUGGACUUCUGUCAAACACAGAUUACAGCUGACAGGGUCUAGAACAAGGCACAUUGAUAAGAACGUAAGAUGAAUCCAUCAUUCUGUUCCAGGGGUGGUCAAUCAGAUGGCUAUAGGCCCACAAGAAGGGCAUGAGUGCAAUAGCACUCUUCUGCUACUGAACUGGAGAGAACAUAAUUGAGGAAGACCAUCACCCAGCUAAUGGACAUCAUGCCUGGAAAAAGGGAAGUGUUCUGGGCCUUCUGAAAAGCCUGCAGCAUAGAGAUUUGGGGCAGAUCCAAUGAAAGAGAGUUCUGUAGCCAUGGGGCCACCACAGAGAAGGGCCUCUCCCUCAUGGCCACCUAUCUUUCUGACCUAGUGAGUGGGUACACCAGGAGAGCCUCUAAAGCAGAAUGUAAGGUGCUGGCAGGAUGGUAUAGGUGCAGGUGGUCCAAUAAAUUGCUUGGGCCCAAACUAUUUGGGGCUUGAAAGGUCAAAACCAUCACCUUGAUUAGGCAUGGGAAUGCACAGAUAACAUGUUGCAUGACUGCCUUGCCCCCAAUAGGACUAUGGCAGCCACUUUCUGAACCAUUUUCAAAGGCAGCUCGAUGUACACUGUACAUGUAAUGCACUCUAGUAGUCUAGUCUGGAUAUGAGCAGAGCAUAGAUUACUGUGGCAAGGUCAGCCCCUCUCCACAUAGGGGUAUAGUUGGCGUAUCAGCUGAAGCUGGUAAAAAAACACUCCUGGCCACAGGUGUUACCUGUCAGUGUUGAAUCCAGAAGCACUCCAAAAUUGUAUACUUGGUCUUUCAGGGAGAGUGCCACCUCAUUGAAUGCCAGCUGUAACCCCUUCCAGAGCUUGGGAUUUCCCCACUCAUCAUCCCUCUGAACACAAGAAGAGCCUGCUGGAUCAGGCCAAUGGCACAUCUAGUCCAGCAUCCUGUUCUCACAUUGGCCAGCCAGAUUCCUACGGGAAGCCCGCAAGCAGGACUUGAGUACCAUAGCACUCUCCCCUCUUUUGGUUUCCAUCAACUGGUAUUCAGAAGCAUACUGCCUCCAGCCAUGGUACUUGGAUUCAACCGCAACCUGUUUGCCUGCAUCUGUCCCAAAACUGCUGCCAGGCACUGCUUAGGGCCUCAACAGCAUCCCCGGGAUCUGAGGAUGGAAAACAGCGGUAGAGCUGAGUGCAACACUGCAGCUCAAACUGUUUCAUGUAGAUGUUGAACAGCAUGUGGGACAAAAUGGACCCCCGCGGACCCCUGCAAGCCAAUGGCCACAGAGUGGAGCAACAGUCCCCUAGCACCACCUUCUGGGUGAGACUGUUCCCAAAGAAUCUGAAUGACUGUAAAAUAGUGCCUCCUAAACCCAAUCCCAAUAGCUAACUCAGAAGGAUACCAUGAUCGAUGGUGUCAAAAGCCUCGGAGAGUUCCAGGAGGCCUAACAGGGUAGAGCUCCCCCGUCCAUCCUCCAGUGAGAGCAGUCCAUCUGGGUGACCAAACUCAUUAAUGUCCCAUAUCCAAACCUGAAUCCAGAAUGAAAUGGAUUCAAAUAAUCAGCAUUAUCCAAAACUGCCUGGAGUUGAGAGGGCAGCGCCUGCUCUUAAGGAUGGGGGUGAAAUUCGAUUCAGUUUGCAUUGAAAGCCAAAUUUGUCAAAUUCACACUUUCUGAAACAACAUGAGAACUGAAACAAGCCAUCCUUCCAAACUGGGACUUAUGCAAAUUUUUCCAUUGCAGUUCUUCAACCAAACAAUGUUUACAAAAAUUCAUAUCAUAGGGGAAUGUGUUCAUAAAAACGAAUACAUUUGUGAAAAUCACAUACAAGAAUGCAUUCUAUUAGGAGAAAUUGCUCGCAAAAAGAUAUACAUUAGUCAAAACUAGGGAUAGAGGAGAAUUUCAAUUCACAUUUAAAGCCAGAUUUAUCAAAUUUGCACCACUUUCCAAAACUAUGAGAACCGAAACACAGCCGCCAUUCGCACUGAUCUGAAUUUUGCAAUGCCGUUCUCCAAGCAAGCGGUGUUUACAAAAAUGCAUGCAUUAGGAGAAAGUGUGCAUAAAAAUUAAUAUAUUAGUGAAAAUAAUGUACAAAAAUACAUUCUAUUAGGAGAAAUUGCUUGCAAAAAUGGGUACCUUAGUCAAAACUGCAUACAAAAAUGCAUUCAGUAGGAGGAAUUCGCACUAAAACGCUGAAGAAGUUUCAUGAGUUUUUUUUAAAAAUCAGCAAAUUUCUGCAGAAAUGUGAAGAACUGAAUUAAGACUUGAAAAAUGAGAAACUGAGAGAGCCAAAAUUGAUAGAUUCUUCCAUCCCCACCCGCUCUAUCACUUUGCCUCAGAGGGCAAUUUAAGGAUUGGAUGGAAGUUGUCUAUGGCCAAAGGAUCUAAAUUUGGCUUUUUAAAAGAUGAGUGGCCUCACUAUCGCCUCCUUGAAGAAGAUAUGGGUUCCUUUCUCAGGGUUAACUACCUCUGAGGUCCAGUUGCUCCAUUCUGAUCUUCUCAACCUGAAAAGCCAGAACAGCAAGGAUCAACAGGCGCCACCGAUCUGCUGGCCGUGGAACGAUCAGCAAGGCCUCUUCAGAAGAUCUUAAAGAUUGGCUUCAGUUGAACAGGCUGCAUGCAGAAUUUGAGGAGGGCUACACCCCAGUCGGCCAGCAGAGAAGCCUCCACUGUGACUCCUGAACAGGACCGGUCCUGUUGAGGGUUCCAGCCAGUUGGGCUGGGGGGCACAUUUUGACUCCAGGCUUGUUGGCACUUGGGGCACUGAAUUUGGUAUCAGAAGUAAUGGUUUUGGAGAAGAGAUGAGACCACUCAUAAGAAGAGCUCAGUGACCAGACAGGACAGAAUCCAUUCCGUAAUGCCAAACAGUGGAGACUAGUGGCUCCAAUGUCAGUGGGGCAGUGGACUCCACUCUGGGUUUUAGUCCAAACUUUCAAGGAGUUGUCCAGGUGCCAUGCAAGUUGCCAAGUUACAACACUUAUGAUUGUUUCAGGUGAAGACCUUCUCCACACAUGCAACUGAAAGCUGCAAUUCUGAGCAAGGAGGAAUGGUACUAAGCCCCUUCCGCCCCCAACGUGAAUGGGAGAAAAGGAGCUUUGAGCUCUCUUGGAUAACUAUUUCUGUGAAUAGUUAACAGCCACACAACAGAUGGUUUCCAAAAUCAGAUGGAUGGUUGUACUUCCUCCAGCUAAGGAUGUGGUGCAGACUGUGAAAAGGAAAAGGAUGAAACAAAUUUUGGGCUGGUGGGGACAAAUGCCACUCCUGCAGGUGAUGCCAUUGCUCUUGCUGUCGAAAAAGAAGAGAGUUGGAACUAUGCUGCCUUGCAUUCCACGCUCUGUUGCCCACUGCGAUGCUUUGUGCUGGGUCAGACCAUCUGUAGCCCAGUACUGUCCGCUCUGACUAGCAGAAGCUCUCCAAGGACUCAACAGAGGUUAUUCACAGUCCAUGAGAUACUUUCACUCUAGGCCAGUGUGGCAAAGUGGCUAAAACCUAUCAGGGAUGCUGCAGAAUUCUGACAAAAAAUGGAAACGGGAGUGGAACUUGCCAAUGUUCAUUUAUGCAUCCCGGGCCCAGCACGGAAACCAAUCCAGUGAUUACAACCGGAUGUUGUUGCUGCUUUCAGUCUGCAAAUGAUAUUUGUAAUUGAUUCCCUCUCCCCCUUUUUGCACUGUUUCCUUUGCAUUGAAAUGAAUUGGGGUGGCAUAACAUAAUGGCAGCCUAACUUACGUGACAUACAGAAUCAAUUGUGUAAUCUCACCACAAGCAAUAAAUGCAGGAAGCCAGGAAGAAAAAUAAAUAAAUACAUAAGUGUUGCCUUGCCCCUUAGCAGCUUCAAACUGGCCUAGCUGUCCCCCCUUGGAUCUGUUGUCUCCCAGUGCUUUCUCUGUCACCCAGAAUGUAGCAGCAGCAACAUGCAAAUAGAUGCUGAGGUCUGCAUGGCUAGUUUUUAUUUUCUAAGAAAGAGGAGAGAGAGAGAGAGAGAGAGAGAGAGAGAGAGUCUGGAGCAUUGCCAAGACAUGCUCAGUGUUGUCAAAUAUUUUGGCAAGCUUUGCCUCUAAUUUAGUCUAAAACAUCUUUACUACUAGAGAAACAGCAGCAGGCAAGCAACAAGCUUGGCUUCAUGCACAGCAGCAAAGAAAUCUGCUCCUACAGGCAUCUGGAGAAUAUUAUAAGCCAGAGGCACUCUAAGAGCUGGGGGCAUGCUCUGUAUGAUGGGAGAGGGGGAGGGCUUCAUCUUAGGCUUGCCAUGUCACAGCCCAGGGAACUGGUCUGCCCUUUUAACAGAAAUGGUAAAAAAAAUGGCCUGCCUUCAUGUCAAUCCCGACUGAUGGUGACCCUGUGAAUAGGGUUUUCAUGGUAAGCGGUAUUCAGAGGGGGUUUACCAUUGCCUUCCUCUGAGGCUGAGAGGCAGUGACUGGCCCAAGGUCACCCAGUGAGCUUUGUUGAUAUGUGGGGAUUCGAACCCUGUAGUCCAACACCUUAACCACUACACCACACUGGCUUUCUAACAGGAAUGAUAAGACUGCUUUAAUGUGAACUGAACCUAAUUGCUCCCCCUUAAGGACAUAAGAAGAGCCUGCUGGAUCAAGACAAAUGGCCCAUCUGGUCCAGCGUCCUGUUCUCACAGGGGCCAACCAGAUGCCCAUGGGAAGCCCAUGGGAAGCCCACAAGCAGGACCUGAGCGCAAGAGCACUCUCCAGUGGUUUCCAGCAACUAGUAUUCUGAAGCAUGCUGCCUCCGACCGUGUGGUCAGACCAUAGCCAUCCUGGCUAGUAGCCAUUGAUAGCCUUAUCCUCCAUGAAUUUGUCUCAACCUCAAAGCCAUCCAAUUUGGUGGCCAUCACUGCCUCUUGUUGGAGGGAAUUCCAGCAUUUAACUAUGCUCUGCGUGAAGAAGUACUUUCUAUUAUCCGUCCUGAAUCUUCCAGCAUUCAGCAUUCAUUGGAUGUCCACGAGGUACAGUGUUACGAGAGAGGAAGAAAAACUUCAAUCUAUCCCCUCUCUCCAUGCCAUGUACAAUUUUAUACACCUUGAUCAUGUCACCUCUGACUCGCCUUUUCUCUAAAACUAAAAAGUCCCCAAUGUUGCAACCUUUCCUCAUUGGUCACUCUGCUCGUUAACCAUGCCGGCACCCUCAGUCCAUUUCCCAAUCUGUGGUAUACACCCCAGGUGAGCUUCCAAUAUUGUAUUUUUAAACAACUCCCAAGCAUUUUGGGGCGAUCUCACUCUCUUGCCUUUGCCUUUCAACUUCUUUUUGCCUAUCCUCUCAUUUUUGGGGAAUGUCUCCUUUUGAAGCUCAGCAACAGGUAUUCAGAAGCAUACUGCCUCCAAGAAGCGUACUGUUCAGUGCCCUAUCAAGACUCAUCCUCUUCUGGUCCAUCCAUCUGCUAUGAAUGGAGCAAAUUCCCUUGAGCAAAAAGGCCAGGGAAAGGACAGGAGGGACGUAUGGCAGAUGGACAAAUCUCCCUCCACGUUUACUGUUAAAAGAGUGAACUAAAUUCUCCCAGUGUGGAUCCUUAUGCAAGUCGAAGGGCACCAUCCAUGCACCAGGGGGAGUUGUAUCAGCUACGGCAGUGACCCUACCUAAUUCACAGUUCCCGAACCAAUACACAAACCAAAAUGCAACUAUCUUUUGCAAUGCAGUUCUCCGACCGAAUAAUGUAUUCAAAAAUGCAGAUAUUAGGGGGAUGUGUGCCUUCCAAUGCACGUGUUAGUGAAAAUAAAAUGUAAGCAUGCGUUAUAUUAGAGGAAAUUGCUUGCACCAAUGUGUAUAUUAAGCAAAAUUAAAAAGUGUGAGUAUAAGGAAAACAACACACUAAGAUGCUAAUGAAUUUCCAUGAGGAUUUUCUUCUUUUUAAUUGCAAACUGAUGUGGAAAUGAGGAGAACUGAAUUUAAGAAUGAGAAACUGAAACUGACAAAU